rnacentral:lncRNA from 1 species
CAUUCUUAGCUUGCAAAUUCGAAGGAGUGUUUUUCUCGAAUCUUGGUCCAUUCUCUUGGAGAUUCAUCAUUUCAACUUGGUGCUAUCAUCUUCAAUUGUUUCUAUCUUGAGUAAUCCCUUUCUUGCUAUCCGGUGCAUUUCUGAAUUGUUUCAUUCUCGAUUCUCCGAAGGCCAUCAUUUUAGAAGAUUCUUCGUUCUCAGCUUUCAGCUUUCAUCUUCAAUUCUUCUCAAUUGUUGUCUCUUCGUUGUCUCUCGUUUAUCCGGUGCCUUGUUCUAGUUGUCUCUAAGGUGGCUCAUGAUCUCUUCUUUCUCAUGUAUCUCCAGUCAUUCAGGGUUGGCUCAUUCAUUUCAAUUCUCACCGGUGCCUCUUUCAAGAUUUCUUCUAGUUUGUGCUCAUAUCUCUCCUCAAUCUUUUUAGAAGAAUAAGUGAUAUGCUAAAUCCGUUGAUUGUCAUCAGUUUAACUUGAUGAAGGAUAAGCAUAACAUAAUUCUUAUUCUUGUUCAUAG